GUAUCCGGCCUGAGAGGGUGAACGGACACACUGGAACUGAGACACGGUCUAGACUCCUACGGGAGGCAGCAGUAGGGAAUAUUGCUCAAUGGGGGAAACCCUGAAGCAGCAACGCCGCGUGGAGGAUGAAGGUUUUAGGAUUGUAAACUCCUUUUGUUAGAGAAGAUAAUGACGGUAUCUAACGAAUAAGCACCGGCUAACUCCGUGCCAGCAGCCGCGGUAAUACGGAGGGUGCAAGCGUUACUCGGAAUCACUGGGCGUAAAGAGCGCGUAGGCGGGAUAGUCAGUCAGGUGUGAAAUCCUAUGGCUUAACCAUAGAACUGCAUUUGAGACUACUAUUCUAGAGUGUGGGAGAGGUAGGUGGAAUUCUUGGUGUAGGGGUAAAAUCAC
rnacentral:rRNA from 1 species